rnacentral:rRNA from 1 species
GCCAUACCACCCUGAAUGCUCCCGAUCUCGUCUGAUCUCAGAAGCUAGACAGAGUCAGGCGUGGUUAGUACUUGGAUGAGAGAAAUCAGAGC